rnacentral:rRNA from 1 species
AUUGAACGCUGGCGGCAGGCUUAACACAUGCAAGUCGAACGGUAGCAGGAGAAAGCUUGCUUUCUUGCUGCCGAGUGGCGGGCGGGUGAGUAAUGCUUGGGAAUCUGCCUUAUGGAGGGGGAUAACGACGGGAAACUGUCGCUAAUACCGCGUAGUAUCGGAAGAUGAAAGUGCGGGACCGCAAGGCCGCAUGCCAUAAGAUGAGCCCAAGUGGGAUUAGGUAGUUGGUGGGGUACAGGCCUACCAAGCCUGCGAUCUCUAGCUGGUAUGAGAGGAUGGCCAGCCACACUGGAACUGAGACACGGUCCAGACACCUACGGGAGGCAGCAGUGGGGAAUAUUGCGCAAUGGGGGGAACCCUGACGCAGCCAUGCCGCGUGAAUGAAGAAGGCCUUCGGGUUGUAAAGUUCUUUCGGUAUUGAGGAAGGAGUGUAUGUUAAUAGCAUACAUUAUUGACGUUAAAUACAGAAGAAGCACCGGCUAACUCCGUG